rnacentral:tRNA from 1 species
GCGGGUGUAGUUCAAUGGUAGAACGGCAGCCUUCCAAGCUGUUCACGGGAGUUCGAUUCUCCUCACCCGCUCCA